GUGUAUAUAGUUUUGUUUGAGUGCCGGACCAGGCUUCAUCCCCUUCAACAAUACUCUUUGAAUUUUACUGGGGAUACUCUUUGAGUAAGUGGUAGGAGGGAGGAGGAGAAGGUUUAAACUUUAAACGUAGGUCUGAUAUAC
rnacentral:pre_miRNA from 1 species